UUCCUGGGCAUCGACUCCUGCUUUGCUUAUUUAGAGACUCCAGUGCUGUGCAUCUUAGACGAAUUUGCAGAGUUACGUGGUCGCAGAGGCUGGGUCACUUUCUUCAUAUGUUUCAUUUCCUUCUUGGCAACAAUCAUCUUUGGGACGGAUGGUGGGAUAUACUGGUUAACACUGGUUGACUGGUACUGUGCUUCAUUCACCGUUAUUGUUGUUUGUUUGUGCCAGAUAUGCAUAUUCGGCUAUUUUUAUGG